rnacentral:rRNA from 1 species
UACGUAGGGUGCAAGCGUUAAUCGGAAUUACUGGGCGUAAAGCGUGCGCAGGCGGUUGUGCAAGACAGAUGUGAAAUCCCCGGGCUCAACCUGGGAAUUGCAUUUGUGACUGCACGGCUAGAGUGUGUCAGAGGGGGGUAGAAUUCCACGUGUAGCAGUGAAAUGCGUAGAGAUGUGGAGGAACACCGAUGGCGAAGGCAGCCCCCUGGGUCAAGAUUGACGCUGAGGCGCGAAAGCGUGGGGAGCAAACAGG